rnacentral:rRNA from 1 species
UACGUAGGGUGCAAGCGUUGUCCGGAAUUAUUGGGCGUAAAGAGCUCGUAGGCGGUGUGUCGCGUCGGCCGUGAAAACCUGCAGCUUAACUGUGGGCUUGCGGUCGAUACGGGCAUCACUGGAGUUCGGCAGGGGAGACUGGAAUUCCUGGUGUAGCGGUGAAAUGCGCAGAUAUCAGGAGGAACACCGGUGGCGAAGGCGGGUCUCUGGGCCGAUACUGACGCUGAGUGAGCGAAAGCCAGGGGAGCAAACGGG